rnacentral:rRNA from 1 species
UCGCCAGACUCCUACGGGAGGCAGCAGUGAGGAAUAUUGGUCAAUGGGCGGGAGCCUGAACCAGCCAAGUCGCGUGAGGGACGACGGUCCUAUGGAUUGUAAACCUCUUUUGUCGGGGAACAAAGGCGCCCACGGGUGGGCGGAUGAGUGUACCCGAAGAAAAAGCAUCGGCUAACUCCGUGCCAGCAGCCGCGGUAAUACGGAGGAUGCGAGCGUUAUCCGGAUUUAUUGGGUUUAAAGGGUGCGUAGGCGGUUUUUUAAGUUAGUGGUUAAACGUCGGGGCUUCACCUUGAUUUGCCAUUAAUACUGUAAGACUCGAGUUCAGACGAGGUAGGCGGAAUAAGUUAAGUAGCGGUGAAAUGCUUAGAUAUAACUUAGAACUCCGAUAGCGAAGGCAGCUUACCAGACUGCGACUGACGCUGAAGCACGAGAGCGUGGGUAGCGAACAGGAUUAGAUACCCUAGUAUCC